GUGCCUAAUACAUGCAAGUCGAACGAAACUUUCCUUACACCGAAUGCUUGCAUUCACCGUAAGAAGUUAGAGUGGCGGACGGGGUGGAGGUAACGAACGUGGGGUAACCGUGCCCCACUAGUCUGGGAUACCACUUGGAAACAGGUGCUAAUACCGGAUAAGAAAGCAGAUCGCAUGAUCAGCUUUUAAAAGGUACGGCGUAAGCUGUCGCUAUGGGAUGGCCCCGCGGUGCAUUAGCUAGUUGGUAAGGUAAAGGCUUACCAAGGCGAUGAUGCAUAGCCGAGUUGAGAGACUGAUCGGCCACAUUGGGACUGAGACACGGCCCAAACUCCUACGGGAGGCAGCAGUAGGGAAUCUUCCACAAUGGACGCAAGUCUGAUGGAGCAACGCCGCGUGAGUGAAGAAGGUUUUCGGAUCGUAAAGCUCUGUUGUUGGUGAAGAAGGAUAGAGGUAGUAACUGGCCUUUAUUUGACGGUAAUCAACCAGAAAGUCACGGCUAACUACGUGCCAGCAGCCGCGGUAA
rnacentral:rRNA from 1 species